rnacentral:rRNA from 1 species
GUGAGGAAUUUUCCGCAAUGGGCGAAAGCCUGACGGAGCAAUGCCGCGUGAAGGAUGAAGGCCUAUGGGUUGUAAACUUCUUUUCUCAGAAAAGAAUUAUGACGGUAUCUGAGUAAUAAGCAUCGACUAACUCUGUGCCAGGAGCCGCGGUAAGACAGAGGAUGCAAGCGUUAUCCGGAAUGAUUGGGCGUUAAGCGUCUGUAGGUUGUUUAACAAGUAUUCUGUCAAAGAUUAGGGCUUAAACCUAGAUAGGCAGAAUAAACUUUUAAGCUAGAGUUUGGUGGAAGCAGAGGGAAUUCCCGGUGGAGCGGUGAAAUGCGUAGAUAUCGGGAGGAACCCCAAAGGCGAAGGCACUCUGCUGGGCCAAUACUAACACUGAGAGACGAAAGCGAGGGGAGCAAAUGGGAUUAGAAACCCGUGUAGUCC